UCAUUUUGGGUUGAAUUUGGGCUGUUUUGGGUCAAUAUGGGUUGAAUUUGGGCUGUUUUAGGGUCAUUUUGGGUUGAAUUUGGGCUGUUUUGGGGUCAUUUUGGGUUGAAUUUGGGCUGUUUUGGGGUCAAUUUGGGUUGUUUUAGGGUCAUUUUGGGCUGUUUUAGGGUCAAUUUGGGCUGAAUUUGGGCUGUUUUCGGGUCAUUUUGGGUUGAAUUUGGGCUGUUUUGGGUCAUUCUGGGUUGAAUUUGGGCUGUUUUGGGUCAUUUUGGGUUGAAUUUGGGCUGUUUUGGGUCAUUUUGGGCUGAAUUUGGGCUGUUUUGGGGUCAUUUUGGGUUGAAUUUGGGCUGUUUUGGGGUCANUUUGGGUUGAAUUUGGGCUGUUUUAGGGUCAAUUUGGGUUGAAUUUGGGCUAUUUUAGGAUCAUUUUGGGUUGAAUUUGGGCUGUUUUGGGGUCAAUUUGGGCUGAAUUUGGGCUAUUUUAGGGUCAUUUGGGGCUGUUUUGGGGUCACUUUGGGUUGAAUUUGGGCUGUUUUGGGUCAUUUUGGGUUGAAUUUGGGCUGUUUUGGGUCAUUUUGGGUUGAAUUUGGGCUGUUUUAGGGUCAUUUUGGGCUGUUUUAGGGGUCAUUUUGGGCUGUUUUGGGGUCAUUUUGGGUUGAAUUUGGGCUGUUUUGGGUCAUUUUGGGUUGAAUUUGGGCUGUUUUGGUACCGACCGACAGUGCUGGAUUUGAGCUCGGCCUCCACAGCAUCGUAAUGAGCCGAAAACUUCUUAUCAAUGUUGGCCUUCAGGGUGUUCUCCUAUGGGGGGGGGGGGUAAUUAACAAGGGCUUAAUUAGUUAAUUAGGGGGGGUUAAUUAAUGAGAAGGGGGUCACCCAUAACCCCCCCACCCAUAGCCUUCCAUAGGACCCCAUAACGACCCCAUAAGCCCCCCCAUAGGACCCCAUAAUGACCCUACCCCAUAACGACCCCAUAAGCUCCCCAUUAGCACCCAUAAUAACCCUAUUAUCCCCCAUAGCCCCUCCUAUGACCCCAUAGGACCCCAUAACCCCCACAUAGGAACCCAUAACCCCCCUAUAGCCUUCCAUAUUCACCCCAUAGAACCCUAUAGGGCCCCAUAGCCCCCCAAAAGAACCNAUAGAACCCUAUAGGGCCCCAUAGCCCCCCAAAAGAACCUCAUAGGCCCCCAUAUCCCCCCAUAAAACCCUAUAGGGACCCAUAGCCCCCAAUAGAACCCUACAGGACCCCAUAAGAACCCCAUAUCCCCCCAUAGAAACCCCAUAUCCCCCCAUAGGGACCCCAUAUCCCCCCCAUAGAGACCCCAUAGGCCCCAUAACCCCCUAUAGUCCCUUCAUAGGACCCCAUAACAACCCUAUCCCCCCCACAGAACCCUAUAGCCCCCAAUAGGACCCCACUGCCCCACAUAAGACCCCAUAACGACCCUAUUACCCCCACAUAGUCCCCCAUAAGUCCCCAUAGCAACCACAUAUCCCCCCAUAGAACCCUAUAAGGACCCCAUAGGCCCCAUAGAACCCCAUAAACCCCCAUAGGGACCCCAUAUCGACCCCAUAUCCCCCUAUAGAGACCCCAUAAAACCCUAUAGAGACCCCAUAGAGACUCCAUAGGCCCCUAUAGGCCUCACAGCCCCCCAUAUCCCCCCAUAGCCCCCCAUAGAACCCUAUAAGCCCCCAUAUCCCCACAUUAACCCUUAUAGGCCCCAUAGGCCCCCUAUCUCCAUCCUAUAGCCCCCCAUAUC
ensembl:lncRNA